ACAAGACCCUCCAUGAUGGCGCCCCAAGGCCAUGUGAACCUAUGUGGAAAUAAACCCAGUAGAGCACAGAGCAGUGCAGGAUCAGAUGCCCAGCACAGGGUGCGACACUCCUUCUCAAAGGCACGGUCUUGCUAUGUUGCCCAGGCUGGUCUUGAACUCCUGGCCUCAAGUGAUCCUCCUGCCUCAGCUUCCCAAGUUGCUAGGAUUGCAGGUUAUAUGAACUGCAUCCUCCUCUUCUCAACACAUGGAUUAAAUAAAACUUCCCUUCCAAAAAGGGAUCUGAAAGUUAAACCACACUAGGGUGUGAUUGACAACAAUCUUGAUAGUUCACUUUUCAAAAUAUUGGCAAGUUAAGUUUCAGAAGGCUUAAAUCAAAAGAUUGAUUCAAAAAUGCUAUGAAGCAAAGAAUUCUUGGAUAAUUUCUCCUGAAUCUCUGGAUACAGUCCUUGUUGGCUUCUCCUCGCUGCCUCAGGUAUCACCAUGACAGCAUAAUUUCCCAUUUUUCCAUAUUAAAAUACCAAUAUGCUUGGGAGAGAACAUUUAGUUUGCCUUAUUAGCUAAUAAAACACCAUUUGAAUAUAUAUGAUCCUUUCCUGUCUGAAAAUUAAUCAAAAAUGGAUCUGUUAGGAAACAAGAUGGUGACAUAAGCUUAAGGGGGAGAGAAGUUCAUUUCUUGAGAUUAUUAUACACCAAACACAUGCUCUAUGUGCGCAGUGCAAUGUUAUUUAAUCUUCUUAAGGGGCAUGAUGUAAGCAGUUCUUCCAUUUUAUAAAUGAGAACAUUGAGGUUCAGGGAGGUAAAUUUAAUUGUUGAAGCUUACAAGUGACUGAGACUCAACCAAAAGAUACAUGGAUGCAGAGGUCUUGCUAUUUUUAGGGAAAUCUGAAGGCUGCAAACAUAAGUGCCCCACUUGGACUCUGGCAAAGCUGGCCCCGCCACCUGCUCUGAAGACUGGACAAGGAGCAGAUCUCAAUUUCUGGCUCCCAGCAAGUAUUUUCUCCACUAGACCACACAGAAGGCUCCAAUGCAACAGUCAGGACCAGGGUUUGGUUCUUUUGCCCAGCAGCCUAAGCUAAUCUCCAUGAGUCAAGCCAGACCUUUCAUUCUGGUUUGGGACAACCAGGGCUAAGAGUCAACCUGCAUGGUGCCUCUUGUGGAAAUAGUAGGGGAAAGAAAGUAUCCGGAAUUUGGUUCUCUGUUCCAACAUCCUUUUUAAAGUGCCAAUUAAUCCUUCAAGGGAGUUGUCUUUACAUGUGGUGUUGAGGCAUGGGGGUGUGAUGCACUUGUGUGAGGCACAGACUCACAUAGACAGUAAGUCCCCACCAGCCAUGAGCUCACAGUCCUGUGUUGGGGGUUUUCUGAACCACCUCAGCAUGGCACUUUGGCAUGCUGAGUGCUUUAAACCGAAGGACAUUGGAAGGGUCUCAGAAUCAAAGUCUGUCUCUGACUUUCUCCUGCCUUUCUUUUUCCUGUUCCCCAAGGCAGGCCAUAGAAACUAGAAUUCCUCUUUCCCAAGGUGGGUCAUAGAAACUAGAAAUAUUGCUCUAAACUUUCUGUGUAGGAGCUGGCCACAAGGAAGCCAUCUGACCUACCUUGCUUGAAAGCAGGUCAUAAGACCCUCAUUCCAGAGGGGUCCUGCUGCAUACCCAGGAGAAAGAAAUACCACACAAAGAGGCCAAGAAGAAUCUGAACAGUCAGGCCUUGCUGGGUUUCCCCUGCAACCUAUCACCAUUAGAUCACAACCUUUGGUCCAAUCACAUUUCUACAUGGCUGUCCAUUCUUCAUUGAUCCUAAGCAAAAAAAUAGACAGUUUUCCCUGGGUCUUUAGGUCUUCAUUUCUGAAGCCUCCCAUGUCAUAUAAAACUUUGAUUAAAGAAAUGUGUUAUGCUUUUCUCAUGUUAACCUGUUUUUUGUUAUAGGAGUGUUGGCUGUGACCCUUAUGAUGGGAUGAAAAGGUACCACGCUUUUUCCAUCCCCAAACCUGGAAAGAACUGUAGUUGGUGAGACCAGAAAAUCUCACAAAAAGCAGGGAGAGGGAGGAUUAAGGCUGAAACAUUUUAAAUAAGCCAUUGUGCAUCAAUUAAAAUAAGUGAAAGUCUAGAAAAUAUCCAUUUUUCAUUUGUGGGUGUGACAAAUCUAGUCCAAAAUGUAUUCCCAUGAAUCAAUUUCUUCAAUCCAUCUAUUAUUACCAAACAAUUUAAUCAUGUUCAGUUUUUAUGAAGUACAAAUGAAAGGCAAACAAGAGAUUGUCCUAAACAAGACAGUUCUCAUAAUUGUCUUUGAAGCCAACACUUUAUCCCAGUUAAGAUGACAUUGGGGUCCCAGAUGACUGUUACUUAAGGGAUGAUUUUCUCUCUAACUCUGCAUUCUGAGGAAUUCUACAUAAAUUUCCAUUACUUUAAAGAAUCUGUACUUCUAUUAUCCUUGUGACUCAAAGGAAACUGACAGACCAGGAUGAUACCAUUGCCAUUUUUUUCCCCAGUGGGAUCUUAUAUUGCUCCUAUCAAUUUAUGUAAGCCUGCAA
rnacentral:lncRNA from 1 species